GAAGAGCUGGCCCUUGGGCUAAAUGCGAACCGACCCAUUGUGGAGGGCAUCCCUGGGGGCAGCUCUUCCUUAGACCUAAAGCCGGGGACCAGUAACAGCAACACCUUAAUUACAGUUUUACAUAAUACACCAACACUUUUACCUGUUCCCUAGAAAGUGGUGGCUGAAAUAUGUGCAGACAGUGAAGAAACCCUCACAGAUGACUGUCCUCACAGAUGGAAGUACUUGUAAGUGCAUAAAUAACUUUAUUUUAUUUCUAGUUGUAUGCAUAUUAUUUCUGACUGCAAUAUGUGUUGCAGGAGGAAACGCCUACAGACAGGCCUACAGCACAAAGUGAUACAGAGGUGGGCAGUCUACUUUUCCUUUUUAUUUCUGUUGCAUGAGGCUUGUGUUAAUUUUUCUUUUCUUUUUUUUUUUUGAAUGUCACAGGGUGAUAUCCGUACCCUAUAUAAACGGAAUCUUCAACAGAAAAUUGAGUAUUUUGACCUUAAAAAACAAAACUUAAGGGGAGAAAUAGAACUUGACACCUUAAAGAAGACAAAACUGGCACUAGAGAUUGAGUUGCUUCAAAAGGAACUUCAGAGUAAGUGCUAAAACACUUUUUCACAAAGAGUACUAUUGCUAACCUUGGAUAACAAUAUAUCUUAUUGCAGGAAAAGAUGACCAUCACUGGCUUAUCAAGACAAACAAUAAUUGAAAUAAAACUCAAUGAACUAAGCAUGUUGUCUUGUCUUCUAUUAUUCAUUUAAUGAAGGUUUUUGUGUGUAAAAAACAAAAAAUCAAAAAUGGUGUUCCACAAU